GUAGUCAAGUGAAUAAGGGCUGAUGGUGGAUACCUAGGCACACAGAGGCGAUGAAGGACGCGGUUACCGGCGAAACGCUUCGGGGAGUUGGAAGCAAGCACAGAUCCGAAGAUAUCCGAAUGGGGCAACCCUAAGAACGGCAAGUUGAAUACAUAGACUUGCACGAGCGAACGCAGCGAACUGAAACAUCUUAGUAGCUGUAGGAAGAGAAAACAAACGUGAUUCCCCUAGUAGCGGCGAGCGAAGCGGGAAGAGCCUAAACCAGUUGGUUUACUGACUGGGGUUGUGGGACAGCGACAUGGAAUCUGUACGGCUAGACGAAGUACUUGAAUGGUACGCCAGAGCAGGUGAAAGCCCUGUAGUCGAAAGCUGAAGGAUACUAGCUGAAUCCCGAGUAGCCUGGAGCACGUGGAAUUCCGGGUGAAUCAGCGAGGACCACCUCGUAAGGCUAAAUACUCCUGUGUGACCGAUAGUGAAACAGUACCGCGAGGGAAAGGUGAAAAGAACCCCGGAAGGGGAGUGAAAUAGAACAUGAAACCAUCAGCUGACAAGCAAUCGAAGCACGAUUUUUAACGUGUGACGGUGUGCCUGUUGAAGAAUGAGCCGGCGACUUAUAGGCACGGGUAGGUUAAGGCGGAAAUGCCGAAGCCAAAGCGAAAGCGAGUCUGAAUAGGGCGAUAAUCCGUGUUUAUAGACCCGAACCCGGGUGAUCUAACCAUGUCCAGGAUGAAGCUUGGGUAAAGCCAAGUGGAGGUCCGCACCGACUGAUGUUGAAAAAUCAGCGGAUGAGGUGUGGUUAGGGGUGAAAUGCCAAUCGAACCCGGAGCUAGCUGGUUCUCCCCGAAAUGUGUUGAGGCGCAGCGGUAUGUGAUGACGGUUGGGGGUAAAGCACUGAUUCGGUGCGGGCUGCGAGAGCGGUACCAAAUCGAGUCAAACUCAGAAUACCAAUCGGCAAGCAUACCAGUGAGACGGUGGGGGAUAAGCUUCAUCGUCAAGAGGGAAACAGCCCAGACCACCAGCUAAGGUCCCUAAAUUAUCGCUCAGUGGUAAAGGAGGUGGGAGUGCAGAGACAACCAGGAGGUUUGCCUAGAAGCAGCCAUCCUUGAAAGAGUGCGUAAUAGCUCACUGGUCAAGCGCUCCUGCGCCGAAAAUGAACGGGACUAAGCGAUAUACCGAAGCUGUGGACUUGUAAUACAAGUGGUAGGGGAGCGUUCUGCGGUAGGGUGAAGCAUCAGCGGCAAGCAGGUGUGGACGAAGCAGAAGUGAGAAUGUCGGCUUGAGUAGCGCAAAGAUAGGUGAGAAUCCUAUCCCCUGAAAUCCCAAGGGUUCCUCCGCAAGGCUCGUCCACGGAGGGUUAGUCGGGACCUAAGGCGAGGACGAAGGUCGUAGUCGAUGGACAAUCGGUUAAAAUUCCGAUACUUGAUUUGUGUUGUACCGGGGGACGGAGAAGGCUAGCACAGCCGCAUGUUGGUUAGCGGUUUAAGUGUUCGAGGCGAUGAGAGCUGGAGAAAACAGCUUGAGCUGAGGCAUGAGUACGAGGGGAUACGUCCCCGAAGUGUGUGAAGUCAAGCUUCCAAGAAAAGCCCGAAGUACGUUAACGCAAAUUGACCCGUACCCUAAACCGACACAGGUGGGAAGGUUGAGAAAACUAAAGGGCGCGAGAUAACUCUCUCUAAGGAACUCGGCAAAAUGACCCCGUAAGUUCGCGAGAAGGGGUGCCAGCGAGAGCUGGUCGCAGUGAAGAGAUCCAGGCGACUGUUUACCAAAAACACAGGUCUCCGCGAAGUCGCAAGACGAAGUAUGGGGGCUGACGCCUGCCCAGUGCCGGAAGGUUAAGGAAGUCGGUCAGGCCGUAAGGCUAAAGCUGGCGACCGAAGCCCCGGUGAACGGCGGCCGUAACUAUAACGGUCCUAAGGUAGCGAAAUUCCUUGUCGGGUAAGUUCCGACCCGCACGAAAGGCGUAACGAUCUGGAUGCUGUCUCGGAGAGAGACUCGGCGAAAUAGGAGUGUCUGUGAAGAUACGGACUACCUGCACCCGGACAGAAAGACCCUAUGAAGCUUUACUGUAGCCUGGUAUUGGGUUCGGGCUUUGACUGCGCAGGAUAGGUGGGAGACUAUGAAGUUGUCCUUGUGGGGACAAUGGAGUCAACGGUGAGAUACCACUCUGUCAGAGCUAGAAUUCUAACCCUCACCCAUGAUCUGGGGAGGGAACCGUAUCAGGGGGGCAGUUUGACUGGGGCGGUCGCCUCCUAAAUGGUAACGGAGGCGCGCAAAGGUGUUCUCAGGCUGGUUGGAAAUCAGCCGCAGAGUGUAAAGGCAGAAGAACGCUUGACUGUGAGAGUGACAACUCAAGCAGGGUGGAAACACGGCCUUAGUGAUCCGACGGUAUGCGCGUGGAAGUGCCGUCGCUCAACGGAUAAAAGUUACUCUAGGGAUAACAGGCUGAUCUCCCCCAAGAGUUCACAUCGACGGGGAGGUUUGGCACCUCGAUGUCGGCUCAUCGCAACCUGGUGCGGAAGUACGUGCCAAGGGUUGGGCUGUUCGCCCAUUAAAGCGGUACGUGAGCUGGGUUCAGAACGUCGUGAGACAGUUCGGUCCAUAUCCGGUGCAGGCGUUGGAGCAUUGAGAGGAGUCCUCCUUAGUACGAGAGGACCGGGAGGAACGCACCGCUGGUGUGCCUGUUAUCGUGCCAACGGUAAACGCAGGGUAGCCAAGUGCGGAGUGGAUAACCGCUGAAAGCAUCUAAGUGGGAAGCCCACCUCAAGAUGAGUGCUCCCAUGACUUUAAGUCAGUAAGGUCACCUGUAGACCACAGGUUAAUAGGCAGUAGAUCGAAGUGUGGUAACACAUGCAGUCGAGCUGUACUAACAGACCGAGGGCUUGACUUCA
rnacentral:rRNA from 2 species